rnacentral:rRNA from 1 species
AUGUCAGCGUGGUUACUCUCACCCUCCCGAUUGUUAUGGCAUGAGCUUCGCCCCACAACUAGCUCAUACCAAAACAAUUACUCAUAUGGGUGGCCUGAAAACCAGAAUAUGUCAUAUAGGAACAACAGCCCUGAAAUCUCAUCAUUUGCCUCUAGUUAUCCAUUGCAGGGAAUUAGGUACAAUGAGGAGAGCAACAACUAUGCACCACAACAAUUUUAUUCAGCUCCUAUUCAUGUACCUCAACACCGGAAGAUGUGUCCAAUGGAGUUAAAUGGUCCUCCAUUUGGUCAACCAACACCUUCAACACAAGUGCCCAAACAAGAUGAGUUCGAUGACAUAGACAAGCUCGCACUUUUGAGUCUCGAGUUCACUUGGAGUGCCGAGGAUGAUCCUAUUAGGAAGGUUAUACUAGAGUAA